AUUUAUUAGAUAAAGAACCAAUAUUUUUGGUGACUCAUAAUAACUUUACGGAUCACAUUAUGUGACAUAUCAUUCAAGUUUCUGACCUAUCAGCUUUAGACGGUAGGGUAUUGGCCUACCGUGGCUAUGACGGGUAACGGGGAAUUAGGGUUCGAUUCCGGAGAGGGAGCCUGAGAAACGGCUACCACAUCUAAGGAAGGCAGCAGGCGCGCAAAUUACCCAAUCCUAAUACAGGGAGGUAGUGACAAGAAAUAACAAUACAGAACCUUACGGUUUUGUAAUUGGAAUGAGUUAAGUAUAAACCCCUUAACAAGUAUCAAUUGGAGGGCAAGUCUGGUGCCAGCAGCCGCGGUAAUUCCAGCUCCAAUAGCGUAUAUUAAAGUUGUUGCAGUUAAAAAGCUCGUAGUUAAUCUUCUGUUAAUUUUUAUAUAUAAUAUUUCGAUAUUUAUAUAAUAUUAACAUAAUUCAUAUUACUUUUUAGUAUAUGAAACUUUACUUUGAGAAAAUUAGAGUGCUUAAAGCAGGCUAUUGCCUUGAAUACUCCAGCAUGGAAUAAUAUUAAGGAUUUUUAUUCUUCUUAUUGGUUCUAGAAUAAAAAUGAUGAUUAAUAGGAACAGUUGGGGGCAUUUGUAUUUAACAGUCAGAGGUGAAAUUCUUAGAUUUGUUAAAGACAAACUACUGCGAAAGCAUUUGCCAAGGAUGUUUUCAUUAAUCAAGAACGAAAGUUAGGGGAUCGAAGACGAUCAGAUACCGUCGUAGUCUUAACCAUAAACUAUGCCAACUAGAGAUUGGAGGUUGU
rnacentral:rRNA from 1 species